AAUGAACGUUGGCGGCGUGGAUUAGGCAUGCGAGUCGUACGAGAACCCGCAAGGGGGAAAGUGGCGAACGGGGUAGUAAGGCGUAGGUGACGUGCCCUGCGGUCGGGGAUAGCUUAGGGAAACUUAAGGUAAUACCCGAUAAUCCCGGGAGGUUUGAAGACCAUCCGGGCAAAGGUGUGAUUCCACCACAGGAGCGGCUUGCGUGGUAUUAGCUAGUUGGUGAGGUAACGGCUCACCAAGGCAACGAUGCCUAGGGGAUGUUAGCGCAUGAUCCCCACCACUGGGACUGAGAUACUGCCCAGACACCUACGGGUGGCUGCAGUCGAGAAUCUUCGGCAAUGGGGGAAACCCUGACCGAGCGACGCCGCGUGUGGGAUGAAGGCCCUUGGGUUGUAAACCACUGUCAGAGGGGAUGAAGUGCCAGAGAGCUAUCUCUCUGGUUUGACAUAGCCUCAGAGGAAGCACGGGCUAAGUUCGUGCCAGCAGCCGCGGUAAU
rnacentral:rRNA from 1 species